CCUACGGGCGGCAGCAAUUAGGAAUCUUGCGCAAUGGGCGAAAGCCUGACGCAGCGACGCCGCGUGACUGAUGAAGUCUCUCGGGAUGUAAAGGUCUUUUCUGAAGGAAGAAAAAAAUGACGGUACUUCAGGAAUAAGCCCCGGCUAACUACGUGCCAGCAGCCGCGGUAAUACGUAGGGGGCGAGCGUUGUCCGAAUUUACUGGGCGUAAAGUGCGCGUAGGCGGACUAUUAAGUUGGUGGUGAAAUCCCGAGGCUCAACCUCGGAACUGCCUCGAAAACUGUUAGUCUUGAGGUAUGGAGAGGAAAGUGGAAUUCCGGGUGUAGCGGUGAAAUGCGUAGAUAUCGGGAGGAACACCCAUGGCGAAGGCAGCUUUCUGGCCAUAUUCUGACGCUGAGGUGCGAAAGCUAGGGUAGCGAACG
rnacentral:rRNA from 1 species